UAAAGCCUUAGCUUAGUUAAAGCACCUGUUUUGCAAGCAGGAGAUGUAGGUUAAUGUCCUGCAGGUUUU
rnacentral:tRNA from 1 species